rnacentral:sRNA from 1 species
UAGACUGUGACAUCCCUGGUCCACACAGCUAUGACGUCAAGUUCAGUCACGUGGUACAACCAGAGGGUAAAACUAUGGGCUUGAAGAGAUCCGCUAAAUCUGCUCAGACGCCAGGCCCAGGUCCCUGCGCCUACAACGUCUCGGCCUCGAAGACCAAGUGUGCUCACUCCAUGGGCCCUUCAGUCAGCAGUCGGCACACACCUUUCAUGUUCAAUGGCGUUGGACAUAGAACGAUCCUCCGGGACCUUCCCAAGGGCGUCUCUCCCGCGCCUCUUCUGGGAUAAUCUCCAAAUUGACAUGCAGGGUACUAAAUCCACAAAA